UUACAGUGUGAGCAUUGUGAUGCAAUCUGCAUUUCGUUUAACUAUCAGCCAAAGGAAAAGAGGAUGGGAACGGACACGCACGGGUUGGCAGAUUACAGUCCAUCACGGAGGGAAGCCAAAACAGGAACCCGAAGACACAGACUGAAGCAGAGAUGAUGGGAUUUCUGGCCUGCACUCUUUGGAUCAUGUCCAGCUAUCUUCUUGAUACCUUCCAGGACUGCCUGUCCAGGGGUGGCCACACACACAAUGGGCUGGGCCCUCCUACAUCAUCCAACCGUCUAAGAAAAUGCCACACAGGCAUGUCUACAGGCCAAGCUGAUGGAGGUGUCUCCUCAUUGAGGUCUUCUCUCCUCA